AAUUGGAAUCCAUAAUAAAUUCCGAUUCUUCUUUGGUACUUGAUCAAUUUCACAAAUUAAAUACUCCGUAGUAAUUUUUCUUGUCGGCCACCACCGCAAUUUAAACGUCUGAUUCUAAACAAGUCCUCAAUCCUCUUUUCCCGAUUGCCAAAAAUCUCCGUUGUUAACAUCAGAGAAAAUUGUGGUAGAAUUUCGCAGUUUUAGCCGUUGAAGAACAAUAAUGCUUUGGGCACGAAAUUGACUAGGUGAAUUUUAUACUGUUUGGCAAAUUGAGGGCAAAAUAGAGAAUAAAUGGCGGCGGUGGCUAAUCAGACCUUCAGUUUCUCUAAGCUGUCGAGGUCAAGACACGUCAAUCCAUUGGCACCUCCGGCGGCGGCGUUUCAGAGCUGCGGAGGUAGGAAGCUCGAGGUUUGCGGUGGCGCUGCCGCGAGAUCGAGAUUCGUGUCGCCAAUUAGGGCAAUGGAAAAUUCGCGCCGCGAGAUCGAGAAUCGUGCGACGAAGCACGCCAACGGCGCGGCAAAUCAAUCUCUGGUCGAUUCCGCCGCCGGAGGUAAAAAAACUGUUGAGGUGGGUACAGUAGGGAAUUCUACGAAUAUUGCGUG